AAGAAAGUAAGAAAGGGCGUAUGGCGGAUGCCUAGGCUCACGGAGGCGAUGAAGGACGUGAUAAGCUGCGAUAAGCUUCGGGUAGGUGCAAAUAACCUUUGAUCCGGAGAUUUCCGAAUGGGAUAACCUAGCCGUCUGAAGGACGGUUACUAGCACUUAAGUGUUAGAGCUAACGCAGGGAACUGAAACAUCUUAGUACCUGUAGGAAGAGAAAAUAAAUGAAUGAUUCCCCCAGUAGUGGCGAGCGAACGGGGAACAGCCCAAACCAGUGGCGUCGCAAGGCGUGGCUGGGGUUGUAGGACCGCGACAUUGUAUGCAAAUC
rnacentral:rRNA from 1 species